rnacentral:rRNA from 1 species
GACGAACGCUGGCGGCGUGCUUAACACAUGCCAGUCGAACGGAAAGGCCCUGCUUUUGUGGGGUGCUCGAGUGGCGAACGGGUGAGUAACACGUGAGUAACCUGCCCUUGACUUUGGGAUAACUUCAGGAAACUGGGGCUAAUACCGGAUAGGAGCUCCUGCUGCAUGGUGGGGGUUGGAAAGUUUCGGCGGUUGGGGAUGGACUCGCGGCUUAUCAGCUUGUUGGUGGGGUAGUGGCUUACCAAGGCUUUGACGGGUAGCCGGCCUGAGAGGGUGACCGGCCACAUUGGGACUGAGAUACGGCCCAGACUCCUACGGGAGGCAGCAGUGGGGAAUAUUGCACAAUGGGCGGAAGCCUGAUGCAGCAACGCCGCGUGCGGGAUGACGGCCUUCGGGUGGUAAACCGCUUUCGCCUGUGACGAAGCGUGAGUGACGGUAAUGGUAAAGAAGCACCGGCUAACUACGUG